rnacentral:rRNA from 1 species
GACGAACGCUGGCGGCGUGCCUAAUACAUGCAAGUUGAGCGCUGAAGGUUGGUACUUGUGCCAACUGGAUGAGCAGCGAACGGGUGAGUAACGCGUGGGGAAUCUGCCUUUGAGCGGGGGACAACAUUUGGAAACGAAUGCUAAUACCGCAUAAAAACUUUAAACACAAGUUUUAAGUUUGAAAGAUGCAAUUGCAUCACUCAAAGAUGAUCCCGCGUUGUAUUAGCUAGUUGGUGAGGUAAAGGCUCACCAAGGCGAUGAUACAUAGCCGACCUGAGAGGGUGAUCGGCCACAUUGGGACUGAGACACGGCCCAAACUCCUACGGGAGGCAGCAGUAGGGAAUCUUCGGCAAUGGACGAAAGUCUGACCGAGCAACGCCGCGUGAGUGAAGAAGGUUUUCGGAUCGUAAAACUCUGUUGGUAGAGAAGAACGUUGGUGAGAGUGGAAAGCUCAUCAAGUGACGGUAAUUACCCAGAAAGGGACGGCUAACUACGUG